GAUGAACGCUGGCGGCGUGCUUAACACAUGCAAGUCGAACGAAGCACUUUAUUUGAUUUCCUUCGGGACUGAUUAUUUUGUGACUGAGUGGCGGACGGGUGAGUAACGCGUGGGUACCUGCCUUGUACAGGGGGAUAACAGUUGGAAACGGCUGCUAAUACCGCAUAAGCGCACAGCAUCGCAUGAUGCAGUGUGAAAAACUCCGGUGGUAUAAGAUGGACCCGCGUUGGAUUAGCUAGUUGGUGAGGUAACGGCCCACCAAGGCGACGAUCCAUAGCCGACAUGGGAGAGUGGCCGGCGACAUUGGGACUGAGACACGGACCAGACUCCUACGGGAGGCAGCAGUGGGGAAUAUUGCACAGUGGGCGAAAGCCUGAUGCAGCGACGCCGCGUGAGCGAAGAAGUAUUUGGGUAUGUAAAGCUCUAUCAGCAAGGAAGGUAAUGACGGUACCUGACUAAGAAGCACCGGCUAAAUACGUG
rnacentral:rRNA from 1 species